rnacentral:rRNA from 1 species
GUAAGGAAUAUUGGUCAAUGGACGAAAGUCUGAACCAGCCAUGCCGCGUGAAGGAUGAAGGCCCUCUGGGUUGUAAACUUCUUUUAUCUGGGACGAAAAAAGGGUAUUCUUACUCACUUGACGGUACCAGAGGAAUAAGCACCGGCUAACUCCGUGCCAGCAGCCGCGGUAAUACGGAGGGUGCAAGCGUUAUCCGGAUUCACUGGGUUUAAAGGGUGCGUAGGUGGGUAUUUAAGUCAGUGGUGAAAUCUCCGAGCUUAACUCGGAAACUGCCAUUGAUACUAUUUACCUUGAAUGCCCUGGAGGUAAUCUGAAUAUGUCAUGUAGCGGUGAAAUGCUUAGAUAUGACAUAGAACACCAAUUGCGAAGGCAGCUUACUACGGGGUGAUUGACACUGAGGCACGAAAGCGUGGGGAGCAAACAGGAUUAGAUACCCUAGUAGUCC